GACGAACGCUGGCGGCGUGCUUAACACAUGCAAGUCGAACGGAAAGGCCCUGAUUUUGUGGGGUGCUCGAGUGGCGAACGGGUGAGUAAGAGGUGAGUAACCUGCCCUUGACUUUGGGGUAGCUUCAGGAAACUAGGGUUAAUACCAGAUAGGAGCUCCUGCUGCGUGGAGGGGGGUGGAAAGUUGGGGCGGGUGGGGUUGAAUGGGCGGCUUACCAGCUUGUUGGUGGGGUAGUGGAUUCCCAAGUCUUUGACGGGUAGGCGGCCUGGGAGGGUGGACGGCCACAAGGGGCCUGCGAGACGCCCCAGUGUGCUACAGGAGGCAGUAGGGGCGAAUCUGGCACAGUGGGAGCACGUCGGUUGAAGAAGCCCCGGGGGCGGGAUGACGGCCUGCGGGGUGUAAACAGCUUUCGCCUGUUACCAAGCGGUAGUGACGGUAAUGGGUAAAGAAGCACCGGCUAACUACGUG
rnacentral:rRNA from 1 species